CGAGGAGGUCGUGCCGGCCGGCGACGCGCUCACGGCGCUGAAGCUGCUGCAGGCCCGCCGGUUCGACGCCGCCUUCCUCGAC
rnacentral:tRNA from 1 species